rnacentral:rRNA from 1 species
UACGUAGGGUGCAAGCGUUGUCCGGAAUUAUUGGGCGUAAAGAGCUCGUAGGCGGUCUGUCACGUCGGCUGUGAAAACUCGGGGCUCAACUCCGAGCCUGCAGUCGAUACGGGCAGACUAGAGUUCGGUAGGGGAGACUGGAAUUCCUGGUGUAGCGGUGAAAUGCGCAGAUAUCAGGAGGAACACCCGUAGCGAAGGCGGCACACUGGGCCGAUACUGACGCUGAGGAGCGAAAGCGUGGGGAGCGAACAGG